AUGGACAUGAGGGCGUCGACUUCGAAAACAGACAUGGUGGACGCUCUUCGUCGCUACCGUGAGACCCUGAGGUGGGAGACCAGUACGCUGAGGAGCGAGGCCACGUCCGGGGGCCUGGAGACGACCGCCGGAAAGAAGGAUUACCUAAAUCGUCAUCAUCCCGACGGGAGAUCACUAUCUCUCGAAUCACCUCAGCUGGUCGAGCACUUGUCCCUCCAGAACCAGAAAGUCGCGAGCCUGCCUCUGGUCACUUUGCCCUACCUCGUUGCAAAUCAAGAGGAGGCCCUCGCUCUGCUCUUGCACGAGGCGCUCAAGCUGGGCUACCGGGUCCAGUCUCUGAGGGAACUCGGUGUUCCAAUCCCCUUGGAGACGGUCAGAUUACUCUAUCUCCUGUCAAAAAGAUGCGCGGAGAUCUCCAGAAUCAUAGCGAGGCAUGGGUCACCCAAUUCAGGCAAAUCUAAUUCUCAGGAUGCUCCUGCAGUUUCGGCUUACAAAGAGCGCCGUGUCAGCUGGAACUCCAUUUGGGGCAGCCCCGUGUUAAGGUGUGGCGGCUUCAAUGACUUAACCACAUUGUCUCCUAUGUACUUUACCCCCUUUGCUCCUGGUAUCAUCCCAUACUCCGGCUUCGCCACCGAGGCAUUGCAGAUCUACUCCUUCAAAAUCUUUGAUCUAGAUGACAGCUUGAAGUGGCCACUCUAUGUGUACGGCGUAGUUGCUGCUCGAGACUUUGUGGAUGGUAACCGCAACCUUCUCUUCUCUCGCUCCAGGGCUAACUGCCAAGUACUCACUGAAAAGGAUCCUUUUUUGCACUUGACUGGCCCUUCCCGUGCUAUACUGUCCGAGUACCCUGUUGACUUUGAAGUUGAACUAAGGAUAAAAGAUGGAGCAGAGUCCCAAGAUAAAGCAUUGAUGAGUUCUACUAACCACCACCAUUUGGGUGGUGAUACUGCUCUUUUCUUUGGCUGCCUGUGUAGCGCAGAGAUGGGCCUUCAGACUAUUCGUAGUGCGGUCCAGGCCACUAUCUUGUCUGUUCGUGUUGUUGGAGGGGGAUUUCCUUUUGAAUUUGGCGUACAAGUUGCUUGUUCAUCGUCUACUGGACGUGUUAUUGCUGCUGCAUGUCGGCAAGUUGUGUUGCUUGAUUCUGUUGAAAAAUUUCCCCAAGAUGGACUAGAUGGUUACCUUCCUCUGUCAAGGAAUGUUGUUACUGUGGAAUCAAAAGGAUCGCUGAGGAUUAUCAUAAACGGCUAUUCAGAGUCUGGUAUUGUUGCUGACGAAGCCCGGCUUGAUUUCCCUGCUCAACAUUGCCAAAUAAGCACUCAAGAAUGUACUGUUGGCAAUUCUAAGCUGCAGGUUGUCAUUGCUUGGUCUCUACUUGUGAGGGACAAGCUCGACAACUUGGCGGAGGGGUACAUCUUCCCUCUGUGA
rnacentral:rRNA from 1 species